GCCAGCAUGACGGAAUUGGUAGACGUAUCGCUACAGCGAUCUCGGCGACGGGUGCGGGUUCGAUUCCCUGCCGUUGGCA
rnacentral:tRNA from 1 species